rnacentral:ncRNA from 2 species
GGGUGUCGGGCGGGACUUGCUUCUUGUUGCCCCCGGCAGGUUGACGCGAUGGUCGGGCCGCCACG